UGCGAUGUGUAGCUCUGAUGUAC
rnacentral:miRNA from 1 species